rnacentral:rRNA from 1 species
GUAGUCCUGGCUGUAAACCAUGGGCGCUAGGCGUUGUCCGCAAGGGCAGUGCCUCAGCUAACGCGGUAAGCGCCCCGCCUGGGGAGUACGGGCGCAAGCCUGAAACUCAAAGGAAUUGGCGGGGGCCCGCACAACCGGUGGAGCGUCUGGUUCAAUUCGAUGCUAACCGAAAAACCUUACCCGGGCUUGACAUGGUAGGAAACCCUUGCGAAAGCGAGGGGUGCCGUCCUCUGGACGGAAUCCUACCACAGGUGGUGCAUGGCCGUCGUCAGCUCGUGUCGUGAGAUGUUGGGUUAAGUCCCGCAACGAGCGCAACCCCUGCCCUUAGUUGCCACUCUUCGGAGGGCACUCUAAGGGGACUGCCGGCGAUAAGCCGGAGGAAGGUGGGGAUGACGUCAGGUCAGUAUGCCCUUUAUGCCCGGGGCUACACAGGCGCUACAGUGGCCGGGACAAUGGGAAGCGACCCAGCAAUGGGGAGCAAAUCCCCCAAACCCGGUCAUGGUGCAGAUUGAGGGCUGAAACUCGCCCUCAUGAAGCCGGAAUCGGUAGUAAUGGCGGAUCAGCUAAGCCGCCGUGAAUACGUUCUCGGGCCUUGCACACACCGCCCGUCACGCCACGGAAGUCAGUCUUCCCGGAAGCCCUCGAGCUAACCCGCAAGGGAGGCAGAGGACGAUGGGAAGGCUGGCAACUGGGGCGAAGUCGUAACAAGGUAGCCGUAGGGGAACCUGCGGCUGGAUCACCUCC